rnacentral:rRNA from 1 species
GAUGAACGCUGGCGGCGUGCCUAAUACAUGCAAGUCGAGCGAACGGACGAGGAGCUUGCUUCUCUGAUGUUAGCGGCGGACGGGUGAGUAACACGUGGAUAACCUACCUAUAAGACUGGGAUAACUUCGGGAAACCGGAGCUAAUACCGGAUAAUAUUUUGAACCGCAUGGUUCAAUAGUGAAAGACGGUUUUGCUGUCACUUAUAGAUGGAUCCGCGCUGCAUUAGCUAGUUGGUAAGGUAACGGCUUACCAAGGCAACGAUGCGUAGCCGACCUGAGAGGGUGAUCGGCCACACUGGAACUGAGACACGGUCCAGACUCCUACGGGAGGCAGCAGUAGGGAAUCUUCCGCAAUGGGCGAAAGCCUGACGGAGCAACGCCGCGUGAGUGAUGAAGGUCUUCGGAUCGUAAAACUCUGUUAUUAGGGAAGAACAAAUGUGUAAGUAACUAUGCACGUCUUGACGGUACCUAAUCAGAAAGCCACGGCUAACUACGUG